UUGGAGGGCAAGUCUGGUGCCAGCAGUCGCGGUAAUUCCAGCUCCAAUAGCGUAUAUUAAAGUUGUUGCAGUUAAAAAGCUCGUAGUUGAAUUUCGGGGUCAGUAGAUUGGUCAUGCCACUGGUAUGUACUGGUCUCACUGAUUCCUCCUUCCUGAUGAGCCGUAAUGCCAUUAAUUUGGUGUUGCGAGGAAUCUGGACUGUUACUUUGAAAAAAUUAGAGUGUUUAAAGCAGGCUAACGCUUGAAUACAUUAGCGUGGAAUAAUGAAAUAGGACGUUCGAUCUUAUUUUGUUGGUUUCUAAGAUUGACGUAAUGAUUAAUAGGGAUAGUUGGGGGCAUUAGUAUUCAAUUGUCAGAGGUGAAAUUCUUGGAUUUAUUGAAGACUAACUACUGCGAAAGCAUUUGCCAAGGAUGUUUUCAUUAAUCAAGAACGAAAGUUAGGGGAUCGAAGACGAUCAGAUACCGUCGUAGUCUUAACCAUAAACUAUGCCGACUAGGGAUCGGAUGAUGUUAAUUUUUUAAUGACUCAUUCGGCGCCUUACGGGAAAC
rnacentral:rRNA from 1 species